rnacentral:rRNA from 1 species
AUAUCAAUAAGCGGAGGAAAAGAAACCAACAGGGAUUGCCCUAGUAACGGCGAGUGAAGCGGCAACAGCUCAAAUUUGAAAUCUGGCCCCAGGCCCGAGUUGUAAUUUGCAGAGGAUGCUUUUGGCAAAGCGCUUACCGAGUCCCCUGGAACGGGGCGCCACAGAGGGUGAGAGCCCCGUAUGGUAGGACGCCGAGCCUCUGUAAAGCUCCUUCGACGAGUCGAGUAGUUUGGGAAUGCUGCUCUAAAUGGGAGGUAAAUUUCUUCUAAAGCUAAAUACCGGCCAGAGACCGAUAGCGCACAAGUAGAGUGAUCGAAAGAUGAAAAGCACUUUGAAAAGAGGGUUAAAUAGCACGUGAAAUUGUUGAAAGGGAAGCGCUCGUGACCAGACUUGCGCCGGGCGGAUCAUCCAGCGUUCUCGCUGGUGCACUCCGCCCGGCUCAGGCCAGCAUCGGUUUUUGCCGGGGGACAAAAGCUUCGGGAACGUGGCUCCCUUCGGGGAGUGUUAUAGCCCGUUGCUUAAUACCCCGGCGGGGACCGAGGACCGCGCUUCGGCAAGGAUGCUGGCGUAAUGGUCAUCAGCGACCCGUCUUGAAACACGGACCGAGGAGUCAAGCAUUAGUGCGAGUGUUUGGGUGUAAAACCCGCACGCGUAAUGAAAGUGAACGUAGGUGAGAGCUUCGGCGCAUCAUCGACCGAUCCUGAUGUUUUCGGAUGGAUUUGAGUAGGAGCAUUAACGCUUGGACCCGAAAGAUGGUGAACUAU